rnacentral:rRNA from 1 species
CCUACGGGAGGCAGCAGUAGGGAAUCUUCCGCAAUGGACGAAAGUCGAACGGAGCCCGCCGCGUGAGUGAUGAAGGCUUUCGGGUCGAAAAACUCUGUUGGUAGGGAAAACAAGUGCAAUUAGUUGAAUAAGCUGGCACCUUGACGGUACCUAACCAGAAAGCCACGGCUAACUACGUGCCAGCAGCCGCGGUAAU